UAAUGUAUGGGGAUCUGCCCGAUAGAGGGGAUAACUACUGGAAACGGUGGCUAAUACCGCAUAAUGUCUACGGACCAAAGCAGGGGCUCUUCGGACCUUGCACUAUCGGAUGAACCCAUAUGGGAUUAGCUAGUGGUGGGGUAAAGGCUCACCUAGGCGACGAUCUCUAGCUGGUCUGAGAGGAUGAUCAGCCACACUGGGACUGAGACACGGCCCAG
rnacentral:rRNA from 1 species